AUGGGGUGUCUCACAGACAAACACCAAUCCACCAUGAAGUCCUCCAACACUAGCCCAAGCCGUCUCACGAGGAAGGUGCUCUACCUCACCCCUCCCAUCCUGCUCACUGUCUUCUUCUACCUCCACCUGGAGACCCUCACCCUCUUCUUCACCGUACAAUGCGCCAGCAGGCUCGGCAAUGGCGUCGACGACCGCCUCCGUGCGUCGGCCACCUUCCUCCCGCUCAAGGACACCCGUGAGGGCGCCGACACGUGGUUCAUCAGCACCCUGAACGACACCUCCGAGCCUCCGGGCGAGGCGAGGAACCUUCAGUUUCCGUCCGCUGCCUCCGCGGGCCGCCUCCUCUGCCUGGCGGCCCCCUCGCGCCGCGACGGCACGAAGAACGCCUACGCGCUGGCGUGGCCGGGGGCGCUACCCCGCGGCGCGGAGUUCCGGCCGGGCCUUGCUCUCCUGUCCGAGACCUUCUACGACCACUCCAACCUGUGGCACGGGCUCACGUCGCUGGUGCCGUUGGUGUCGUGGCACGCAAGGCGCGGGUGCGGUCCCGCCCCCGCGAAGUGGGCCUUCUUCCACCAUGGCGAGGUCAGGUCCGGGAUGAGUGGGUGGCUGAUGUCACUGGCCGAGGCGGCUACCGGUGCGCCGGUGGCUGCGGAGGAGUUUGGAACUGUCCCGGUGUGCUUCGAAGAGGCCGUCGUCUUCAGGAGAAACCUGGCCGGUUUGAGCACGGAGAGGCUCCUGGAGGCGUUCGACUUCAUCCGGUGCAAGGCCAGGGCCAAGUGUGGCGUCGUCGACACGUCCGGUGCCGGCAAUGAAACUACAAACCUACGCGUCACCAUUCUCUUCCGCACGGGCGGCCGGUCCUUCAAGGACGAGGCGGCUGUCGAGCGGGUGUUCCAGAAGGAGUGCACGCGCGUGGCCGGGCCAAGCUGCGUGCUCACCGUCGCGCAUUCCGACAACCUGACCUUCUGCGACCAGGUGAGGUUGCUGAGCAGGACGGACGUGUUCAUCUCGGCGCACGGGGCGCAGAUGACGAACCUGCUCUUCAUGGACCGGAACAGCAGCAUCAUGGAGUUCUACCCGAUGGGGUGGAGGCAGCGGGCGGCGGGCGGGCAGUUCGUGUUCCGGUGGAUGGCGAGCCGCGCGGGGAUGCGGCAUGAGGGCUCGUGGUGGGACCCUGCCGGUGACCCGUGCCCCGAUGGCAACCCGGACAUCUUCAGCUGCUACAAGAACCGGCGGAUUGGGAUGGACGAGGCCGCCUUCUCCGAGUUCGCGGCCAAGGUCUUCACCGCUAACAAGGAGCGCAAGUCGGCAAAGGCGCGACAAGGACAAGAAGCAAGAACUAAUUGUAAAUGCAGCUAG
rnacentral:rRNA from 1 species